GCUGCGGAGGAUGGCGCAGUUGGUUAGCGCUUAGGUCUACAUAUACUCUGUAUGACUUGGGUAUAUCCUAAGGUCGAGUGUUCGAACACCUUCUCUCCAGCA
rnacentral:tRNA from 1 species